rnacentral:rRNA from 1 species
CCUACGGGAGACUGCAGUAGGGAAUCUUCCACAAUGGGCGAAAGCCUGAUGGAGCAACGCCGCGUGGGUGAAGAAGGUCUUCGGAUCGUAAAACCCUGUUGUUAGAGAAGAAAGUGCGUGAGAGUAACUGUUCACGUUUCGACGGUAUCUAACCAGAAAGCCACGGCUAACUACGUGCCAGCAGCCGCGGUAAUACGUAGGUGGCAAGCGUUAUCCGGAUUUAUUGGGCGUAAAGGGAACGCAGGCGGUCUUUUAAGUCUGAUGUGAAAGCCUUCGGCUUAACCGGAGUAGUGCAUUGGAAGCUGAGAGACGUGAGUGCAGAAGAGGAGAGUGGAACUCCAUGUGUAGCGGUGAAAUGCGUAGAUAUAUGGAAGAACACCAGUGGCGAAAGCGGCUCUCUGGUCUGUAACUGACGCUGAGGUUCGAAAGCGUGGGUAGCAAACAGGAUUAGAUACCCCAGUAGUC